GGCUCAGAACGAACGGCUGGCGGCGUGCUUAACACAUGCAAGUCGAACGCGAAAGGGGACUUCGGUCCUGAGUAAAGUGGCGCACGGGUGAGUAACGCGUAGAUAACCUGUCUUCAUGUCUGGAAUAAUACGCCAAAGGGGUACUAAUACCGGAUAUUCUUGCUUUUCAUAAGUUAUGCAAGCAAAGGUGGCCUCUGCAUAUGCUACUGCAUGAAGAGGGGUCUGCGUACCAUUAGCUAGUAGGUGGGGUAAUGGCCUACCUAGGCGACGAUGGUUAGCGGGUCUGAGAGGAUGAUCCGCCACACUGGCACUGGAACACGGGCCAGACUCCUACGGGAGGCAGCAGUGAGGAAUAUUGCGCAAUGGGGGAAACCCUGACGCAGCGACGCCGCGUGAGUGAGGAAGGCCUUCGGGUCGUAAAGCUCUGUCAAGAGGAAAGAAGUGUACAAUGGCUAAUACCUGUUGUAUUUGACGGUACCUCUAAAGGAAGCACCGGCUAACUCCGUGCCAGCCGCCGC
rnacentral:rRNA from 1 species